GUUUGAUGUAGCCAUGGAUUCGGAGAACGAAAAGCUCCGUAAAGCACUGGCUACUCUGCUCAGAGUUGUUCAAAAGCGUAGUUGUGACAUCGUUGAUGUCGUCAAAUCAGCCUUCCAGCCUUUCAACUCACCUUUGGUCGACGAAUUGAACCGAGCACUAGUUGAGAUUGACGACCUCGCCAAGGAUCUUGAAGACGUAGCAGUGCAAACUCAGUGGGAGGUAGAAAAUAUGGCUAAGAGUCAAGUGAAAGAACAUCCACAACAAGAGGAAGCAGUAGAGGAGCUUCUCAUACAAGAUGGUUCAGAAGACGAGCUACUGAUAGACGAAGAGUCACCAAUUAACUAUGAAGACCUUGUGGGCUACGACGAUGGUCGUGACUACUCAACCGACGACACAUAUCCAUACUAGUGUUCUAGGUUAAACUUCAGUACAAGUAUUGUAGCAUGUUUAGGUCUAUGUUCAAGUGUACUUGUUGGUUGGUAUGAUCAUGCUUUUGGGGGAGUUUAAUGUUCUGGUCUAUGUAAACUGAAUCCGGUUCAGUUACUACAAUAAUUAAUGUGUUUUGUUGGACUAUGUUUGCCUUACUUUAUACCAUGUUACAUGAUGACUACAUGCUCAUUUAUAUCAUGUUUGAUCUGCCUGUAUUGCAUAGAAUGGGGAGUGAUUGGAACCAGGUGAUGUCUCAAUAUGGAAGCUUCCUUAGCUAGAUUGACGAGCAGCCUAUCGGAACACAAUAUUCUGAAUUUCCAGUUGAUGGGCAACCCGAGGGCUCAAGAACACUAGCUGUUACUAAAAAGCCAACUCAAAGAACUAAGCUAGCAAACUUCACUGCUGAAGAGGACACAAGGGUAUGCCAUGCAUGGCUUGCUGUUAGUUGCGAUCCCAUUAUUAACACAGGCCAGAAACGUCAAGGAUUUUGGAGUAGAAUUACUCAAGCAUACAACUCAAGACGAGGAACAUUGCCAGAAAGGUCCACAAAAUCUUUGAUGAGUAGAUGGGAUACUAUCAAAACACAGUGUUCCACUUUUGCUGGAUACAUGAUGGCAGUCCUCCGACAGAAUCCUAGUGGACUCAGUGACGCAGACAAGACAUCACUGGCAGCUUCUAGGUUUGCAGCAAUUGAGAAGAAGCCUUUCCACUUUUUACACUGUUGGGCCAUUCUUAAGGACCAACCAAAAUGGAUGGACAACCACAUGGGUCAACAACAACAGCAAGCCAACGCUAAUCCCACACAUUCUAACACUGUCGAUUUGGAUGCAGAAGAAUCUGUACCAUCAAGCUUCACAUCCAAGAGGCCCCUUGGUUGAGAUUCUUCGAAGGAAAAGGCAAAGAGGACUAAAUCUGUGGACACAUCUUCAUCAGAUUCUGAGUUUAUGACACGCAUGGGUGAUCUUUCUUUGGAGCGCCUGUCAGUGUACAAAACAGCUGUUACAACUGAGGAAAAGAAGUUGGAUUCAAUGAAUAGAAAUGAGAGGCAGAAAUUGCUCCUUGAAAAGAAGAAGUUGAACCUAGAGAAAUUAAGGCUUGAAAGGCAGAAACUAAAGGAGGACAAGGAAGAGGAGAUAAUGAUCUUAAGCAUGGAUUUGAGCAAAUGUAACCCUCUACUCCGCCAGUACUAUGAAGCCAAGCAACAAGAGAUACUGGCAAGGGUUACUGGGUCUACUUCAUCUGGCCAGUGAAGGUUCCUUACUUAAUAUGUUUGUUUGUCAUUUAUGAAUGAGGCGUACUCGGACUUGUUACUGUGAGCUUGCUGUCGUCAGACCCUAAUCUGGUUUGUACCAGAUUUUUUUAGGUCGUCUUUGAACUAUAUGUGUUGAACUAUUUGUCAAGUUAUUGUGUUGAACUAUUUGUCAUGGUUUGUACCUGAAUGUUUUACUAUAUGUGUUGAACUAUUUGGUUUCAUGAACUGUGAGCUUGGUGCA